rnacentral:rRNA from 1 species
GACGAACGCUGGCGGCGUGCUUAACACAUGCAAGUCGAACGGAAAGGCCCUGCUUUUGUGGGGUGCUCGAGUGGCGAACGGGUGAGUAACACGUGAGUAACCUGCCCUUGUCUUUGGGAUAACUUCAGGAAACUGGGGCUAAUACCCGAUAGGAGCUCCUGCUGCAUGGUGGGGGUUGGAAAGUUUCGGCGGUUGGGGAUGGUCUCGCGGCUUAUCAGCUGGUUGGUGGGGUAGUGGCUUACCAAGGCUUUGACGGGUAGCCGGCCUGAGAGGGUGACCGGCCACAUUGGGACUGAGAUACGGCGCAGACUCCUACGGGAGGCAGCAGUGGGGAAUAUUGCACAAUGGGCGGAAGCCUGAUGCAGCAACGCCGCGUGCGGGAUGACGGCCUUCGGGUUGUAAACCGCUUUCGCCUGUGACGAAGCGUGAGUGACGGUAAUGGGUAAAGAAGCACCGGCUAACUACGUG